AGGGGGCGCACUCACCGGAAGUACCCUUGAAAGAGGCGCGCUGCUGUGAGCGAAGAAGAAGAAGUUUGUUUCCUGGUUGGCUUCGGGUUCGUUAUAAAGACGUGUCCGGAGUUCAGACUGGUCCAGAUUUUAACUCUUCGACAGAAACCAACAGGGCCAGUCGGUCCCCUUUAAAGUCAACGUUAGAGUGUGCGUUAGGGCGCGUGGAACAGGUCUGCGUGAGGGCGCGUGAACCAGGUCUGCGUGAAGCGGCGGGUAUCGUGAGUGUUGAGCGCGAGGCUUCGAGGCCUUAUGUCCACAAUGAAUUACGGGAGGCCUCCUCCGAACGUGGACGGCAUGACUUCACUCAAAGUGGACAACCUCACGUACCGGACUUCCCCGGAGACCCUCAGGAGCGUGUUCGAGGACUACGGCCGGGUCGGGGACGUCUACAUCCCCCGGGACCGGUACACCAAAGAGAGCCGCGGCUUCGCUUUUGUUCGCUUCCAUGAUAAACGCGACGCCGAGGACGCGAUGGACGCCAUGGACGGGGCGCUGCUGGACGGACGGGAGCUGCGGGUCCAGAUGGCCCGGUACGGGAGGCCGCCAGACUCCCAGUACAGCGGGGGAAGGAGAGGAGGUGGAGGAGGAGGUGGAGGAGGAGGACCGAGGAGACAAGGAGGCUACGGCCGAAGGAGCAGGAGCUCUUCCCGCAGCCCGAAGCGCAGAAGGCGCAGCAGGUCCCGCAGCAGGAGCCGCUCUCGCUCCAGAAGCCGAUCCCGCUACACCAGGUCAAGGUCCAGGUCCUACUCCCGGUCAAAGUCCCACUCUCCCAAGACCAAGAAGCCCAAGGAUAAGUCCAACUCUCGUUCCAGAUCUAGAUCCAGGUCUCCAUCUAAAUCUAAAUCCAAGUCCAAGUCUAAAUCCAAGUCCAAGUCCAAAUCCAAGUCCAAGUCCAGGUCCAGAAGCCGCACCCCUGCCUCCAAAAGAGGCUCCAGGUCUCGAUCCAAAAGCCAGCCCAAGUCAGCAGCAGAAAAUGGAGGCGAAUCCCCGUAGAUCUCUUCACGCCACCAACAGCUGCGGCAUCCUGUUUGCUAAAGUGGAGUUUGAGCUGUGCUGAUGCAGUAUGAGCAGUUAGAAGGUGUGUGGUGAGCUGCUCACAGGCCGGCUGCCGCUGCUGCUGCUGGUGAGGGUUUCUGUGCAGCAGGGUGGAGCCUGUCAGUGUUGGGGUUUGGUGUUGAGGUACGUCUGUCUGUCCUCCAGGUUGCAUCCCCAGAAAGGUGCUGGAGGGGCUCUGAGUUUUCAGGCGACGACUUCAGAUGUCCAAGACCGGAUUCCCACUCAAGCCUCGAUGUCCUGCUGUUAAAGGUUUUUAUUUUGUUUUCCAGGCUUUGGUUUGUUUCGGACAUUUUGCUACAGAAAGGCUUUUUUAUUCAUUCAUGUGCUGUGAUGUUCAUUUCUUUUGAUACCAUGUUUAUGGCUCACUGUGGAGGAGGAGAGUUUCAGACCUGACCUGCUUUUAUAACGACAACACAAUAACCCACACGCUGGUUUAAACUAUUUGGCUUUUCUUUGUCGUCCGCUCCCUCAUGGUCAGAAGUAAGCGAGUAGUCCGGCUGUCUCUGCUUCUGUUCAUCCUCUCAUUGAUCCUGGAGUAACUGACGUGAAUUUGGUCAGCCAGCCGACUCAAAUCAGGGAUGUUAACGUUCAGAGGCAGACUCGGCUCGUCAGUAAAAAGUCAGAAUGUGUUUCUUCAGAACAAAAGUGCAGUCUAUAUUCACCUUUGAUUACCUGCCUUCAAAAGGAGCUUUCCGAUGCUUCCCAAGAGCGUCGGGAGAAUCCACGCGAUGAAAUGAUCAGAUGAUUUUGUAUUUUCAUUUCCUGUUUGGGUUUGCGUGUAUUUGUUUCCCAUUACAUGUUCUGUACCACAAAAAUCGAGUCUUCUUUUGUUGUUGCAGCCAUCAAACUAAAUAUUCAUCACUCUUUAAUGUUAGAGUGAGCUGGACAUGUAGUCAAUCUUGCAAAGUGAUACACACCUGACCUAUCAGGCUUUGUUCCUUCUUUUUGUUCAGCAUGAGAUGAAAGAAAUAAAGUUCAGAGCAGCGCGACUCUUCAAUCUGAACCUCUUUAAAAUCUUAAAUUCUGCAGCUCAGGGUGUCUUCAGUUUGAGUGCAGGUGUUUAAUCUGUUAAAUAUAUCUGGUCCACACAGGAACAUAUCUGCAAUAAAUCCUAACAGAUAUCAGAGCUGAGAUUUGAAGGCCUCCUUUUGAAGUCAUGUAAUUUUACAGGGCGUGGUUAAUGUCUUUUAUGUUCCCCUUUUUAAAAUGUUUGCUCCUAACCCUGCCUGUUUCUUCAUGCACCAGGUGCAGGUGUGUAGCAGAUGGGUAUUGCUGGUUAGCUGUGAAGGUUGCGUGUUGCUCUGCUGAGUGCUCACUUGUUUCUCCAGAAAGCCCCGGGUGUGCACUCGCUGCGCUCUCAACCCUCUGUACCACCGUUUUGUUUUCUCCCACGUCAUGGAUGAAAAAUGCAACUUUCAUUAAAGGUUUUGGUGUUUUGUCUAAAAA